GCUGGGAUAGCUCAGUCAGUGGAACAUGAAACUCUUAAUCUCACGGUUGCGGGUUCAAGCCCCAUGUUAGGCA